UUAACUACUGAGCCAUCUCUUCAGCCCCAAAGGCAUUGUGUUGAGGAUGUAUUCAUCGUGGCUGGGUUCCCUAUGAUCCCUUGAUCUCUACAUUGUGUCCAGAAAAAUGAAGUCAUGAAAUUUUCAGCUCCAAAUCUUCAGAUGUGAGUGUAUGACAUGGAAUAACCAAAGAAACUGAGAAACUAUCAAGAAACCAUGGGGUGCCUCUCAGAGGUUGAAGAUAAGUUCAUAUUGGCGAAGAAACCACACACUUAGAGACAAGACUUGGAUUAUUUGAGUUGGAUCUGACCCGAAAGCCUCCUUCCUGUGGUCUAGCUUCCAUAGUACCAGAAAGUACUAUGCAAGCUGUCGAGGGAGGGAAGCAGUCACGACUCCUAUUCAGCUGUGGUGCCUACGAACCACAGAACUACUAACAAUGGCCACAGACGGUAAACAGCCUAAGAGUCUCAGACCUACUGCUGAUCCAAACUAGGUAACACUCCUACAGAGACGACACCUGUCUCCUAGCAGACCGUCCACCAUUAUUAGAACCGUCACCCUGCAGCUAGCUUGGACAUCAUUAAAAGGGCUCAUCAGGAGUAGCUGAUAUUCAUGAAGACAGAGUUUCAGGGUUUCCGCCUGGAGCUACACCCUCCAGAAGCCCCUGCUUGGCUUCCCUGCACCCAACGCCAUCCCAACCACUUACAACUUGGGCUGUGCUUGGUGUUUCUUGGCAACUGGAACACAGACUCCUCCAGCUGCUCUCCAGGCCCUUUGUCCUCAAUGAGCAGAAGACAACAGAAGCCGGCUACUGAAGAGGCGGUGCAGGUGGCAGAGCACCUUACUGGCCUUGCUUAGCACCUUGACCACAGAGCAGUCACUGAGUGCUGAAUCUGGAAUCUGUGCUCACCACCAACAGGGACUACAGAGAGAGUUGUCAGGCCCCAGGUCGCUAAGGGCCACCCUCUGGGGAUCCCUCCAGAGAAGGGUCCACUAGUAAAGGGGGCUCUUCAUAGACUCUUCACUGCCUUGAGUCCUACCUACCCAGACACCUCCAGGACUGCAGAGAUCCUCAUCUUUUCACCUAUCUAAUCCACAUCCCAGCUGGCAACCGCUGUGAACGAUUUGUAUUUUCAUUUUUAUCCUCUUGGCGAGAAGAGUUUUAAAUGUUGCUUCCCUCCCUUCUGUAGUUAUAGUAAGUACUACUGAGAAUGUAUUUUUGUCGCUUUUGGAUAUAGUCUUAGAUAUAGUUUCUUAGGAAUUGCUCCAUUUUGUCUGUUUCCAAAUUCACUGGCCUAAAGUUCCAUUUUUAAAUUCUCUGCUAUAUAUAAUCUGUAGCUAUGUCUCCUUUCUCGUUGCUAAUACUGGUCAUUUGUGCCUUCUCCCUUUUUUUCCUGAUCAAUCUCACCAGAGGCUUGUCUAUUUUACUAGUCUUCACAAAGAACCAGCUUUUGGCUUUGUUACUCCUCUCUAUUGUGUCUCUGUUCUCCAUUUCUUUAAUUUCUGCUCUCAUUUUUUUUGACCUCCUGCCUUCCACAUUUUUUGGAUUUAUUCUGCUAUUGUUUUUCUGAUUUCUUAAACUGUAUGUUGAGCUCAUUCAUUUUCAGUCUUUUCUUUUUCUGUUUGCUUGGUUUGGGUGUUGGUUUUUCU